CAAAUAUAUGAUUACUUUCUCCAUGCAGCUUCCUCCUGUAUAUCUAAACCAACGUUUUUUAAUAGAAAGAUAUUUACGAUAACAUACCUCAAUACUGUUUCGCUCUCAGCUGAAUUGUUUCUGAAGGUUAGAAAUUGCCAAAGUUAUUCUCGAAGGUGUAAUCAAUCGCUUUGGAGACUUAACGUUAAUGGAGGAUCGUCGCAUUCGUUCAAUCUUCGACAGUUCCUGAUGGCCAUUAAAUUUUGUCGAAGUCUUUGGAGGUAAAUGUCAGUCUAUAUAAUAGUUUAUUAAAUAAAAACUUUAUAAUUGUAUUAUGUAUAUAUCUUGAUCAAAAAUAAAUGAACAUUUAACGUAAAAUAUGUAGCAUUAUACUAAUCAUUGUAAUUUUUAUCCCACAAAAGAUAUGAGAAUCAUUAAUCAGUUUCUAAUUAAAACAUACUUAAAUUUAGUGUAUUAAAUAUGUCAAAAUUAAUAA